UACGGAAGGCAGCAGUGGGGAAUAUUGCACAAUGGGCGCAAGCCUGAUGCAGCCAUGCCGCGUGUAUGAAGAAGGCCUUCGGGUUGUAAAGUACUUUCAGUCGUGAGGAAGGUGUUAAGGUUAAUAACCUUAGCAAUUGACGUUAGCGACAGAAGAAGCACCGGCUAACUCCGUGCCAGCAGCCGCGGUAAUACGGAGGGUGCGAGCGUUAAUCGGAAUUACUGGGCGUAAAGGGCACGCAGGCGGUUAAUUAAGUUGGAUGUGAAAUCCCCGGGCUUAACCUGGGAAUGGCAUUCAAGCUGGUUAGCUAGAGUCUUGUAGAGGGGGUAGAAUUCCAUGUGUAGCGGUGAAAUGCGUAGAGAUGUGGAGGAAUACCGGUGGCGAAGGCGGCCCCUGGGACAAAGACUGACGCUCAUGUGCGAAAGCGUGGGGAGCAAACAGGAUUAGAUACC
rnacentral:rRNA from 1 species